rnacentral:tRNA from 1 species
UGGAUCAAAGCCAGUUGAUUAAGGUAUUUAGCUGUUAACUAAAUUUUCAUGGGUUUAAUUCCCAUUGGUCUAG